rnacentral:rRNA from 1 species
CGCGCGGGCGGCGUCGCUGAAAGCCGGUGCCAGCAGCCGCGGUAAUACGGAGGGUGCAAGCGUUAUCCGGAUUUAUUGGGUUUAAAGGGUCCGUAGGCGGGGCUCUAAGUCAGUGGUGAAAGCCUGCAGCUCAACUGUAGAAUUGCCAUUGAUACUGGAGCUCUUGAGUACAUUUGAAGUUAGCGGAAUGUGUCAUGUAGCGGUGAAAUGCUUAGAUAUGACACAGAACACCGAUUGCGAAGGCAGCUAA